AAGCGGAGGAAAAGAAACUAACAAGGAUUCCCCUAGUAACGGCGAGUGAAGCGGGAAGAGCUCAAAUUUGAAAUCUGGUAGCCUUCGGCUGCCCGAGUUGUAAUCUAGAGAAGUGUUUUCCGUGCCGGCCCAUGUACAAGUCCCUUGGAACAGGGCGUCAUAGAGGGUGAGAAUCCCGUCCUUGACAUGGACCCCCGGUGCUUUGUGAUACACUUUCAACGAGUCGAGUUGUUUGGGAAUGCAGCUCAAAAUGGGUGGUGAAUUCCAUCUAAAGCUAAAUAUUGGCGAGAGACCGAUAGCGAACAAGUACCGUGAGGGAAAGAUGAAAAGCACUUUGGAAAGAGAGUUAAACAGUACGUGAAAUUGUUGAAAGGGAAACGAUUGAAGUCAGUCAUGCUCUUUGGAUUCAGCCGUUCUGCGGUGUAUUUCCAUUGAGUGGGGUCAACAUCAGUUUUGACCGCUGGAUAAAGGCACUAGGAAGGUAGCACUCUCGGGUGAACUUAUAGCCUAGCGUCAUAUACAGUGGUUGGGACUGAGGAACGCAGCAUGCCUUUAUGGCCGGGAUUCGUCCACGUACAUGCUUAGGAUGUUGACAUAAUGGCUUUAAACGACCCGUCUUGAA
rnacentral:rRNA from 1 species